ensembl:lncRNA
UUUUUUUUUUUUUAUAUUUAGUUGCAUGUGAUGUGUAUGUAUUUUGAUAUUCAUCCCUUAUUGCUUAUAUUAUUUAAGAAUAUUUUCUUCCAUUCUGUAGGUUGUCUUUUCAUUUUGUCAGUGGUUUCCUUUGUUGUGAAAAAUCUUUUAAGUUCAAUUAAAUCCAAUUUGUUUAUUUUUGAUUUUAUUUCUUUUGUCUUAGGACACAGAUCCAAAAAAUUACAGCUAUGAUUUAUAUCAGAGUUCUGCCUAUGUUCUCUUCUAGGAGUUUUAUGGUUUCAGGUGUUAUAUUUAGGUUUGUAAUCCAUUUUGAGUUAUUUAUUUAUUUAUUUUUAUUAUUUUUUAUUUUUUCCCACUGUACAGCAUGGGAAUCAAGUUAUUCUUACAUGUAUACAUUUUUUCCCCCACCCUUUGUUCUGUUGCAAUAUGAGUAUCUAGACAUAGUUCUCAAUGCUACUCAGCAGGAUCUCCUUGUAAAUCUAUUCUAAGUUGUGUCUGAUAAGCCCAAGCUCCCCACCCAUCCCACUCCCUCCCUCUCCCAUCGGGCAGCCACAAGUCCAUGAUUUUCUUUUCUGUGGAGAUGUUCAUUUGUGCUGGAUAUUAGGUUCCAGUUAAAAGUGAUAACAUAUGGUCUUUGUCUUUGUCUUUCUGACUCAUUUCACUCAGUAUGAGAGUCUCUAGUUCCAUCCAUGUUGCUGCAAAUGGCAUUAUGUCAUUCUUUUUAUGGCUGAGUAGUAUUCCAUUGUGUAUAUAUACCACAUCUUCUGAAUCCAAUCCUCUGUCAAUGGACAUUUGGGUUGUUUCCAUGUCUUGGCUAUUGUGAAUAGUGCUGCAAUGAACAUGCGGGUGCAUGUGUCUCUUUUAAGUAGAGUUUUGUCUGGAUACAUGCCCAAGAGUGGGAUUGUGGGGUCAUAUGGAAAAGUUCUAUGUAUAGGUUUCUAAGGUAUCUCCAAACUGUUCUCCAUAGUGGCUGUACCAGUUUACAUUCCCACCAACAGUGGAGGAGGGUUCCCUUUUCUCCACAACCCCCCAGCAUUUUAAGUUAUUUUUGAAUAUGUUGCAAGAAAAUGUUCUAAUUCCAUUCUUUUAUAUGUAGCUGUCCAGUUUUCCUACCAUCAUUUAUUGGAGUCAGUCUUUUCUCCAUUGGGUAGUCUUGCCUCCUUUGUCACAAGAUUAAUUUACAUACCUGCUUGGGUUUAUGGGUCCUCUGCUCUGUUCCUUUGACCUAUGUCUCAUCCUCAUCUAUUCUUUUUCCUAAUUCAUCAGUUAGCAUUUUUAUUACUAAUGCUUUGAAUUCUUUCUAGUGCUUUACUCUUGCUCUUUCAAUUGAGUUCAAGUCCUCUGUCUAUUCAUUUUAUACCUCUCGGAGAGGUGCACUUUCAUAGUCCCCACACUCAUUGACCCCAGGGUGAAACACUGGCUUAAGGAAAAGUGGUGGUUAUGAUAAGAAAGACACUUUUUUACAAGAUGACUAUCAAAUCUAUUCAUCUGAUUUAAUCUGAAGAUAACUACUUAAGAUAAGUUAGUCCCCAGAUAUAAGCACCAAAAGUAAUUCAAAUCUAAAUGUACUGAGGACUAUGUCAAUAAUUCAUACCAUUUAUAUAUUAGUACCUGGUCUUAGUUAGAUAUGGUACUAAGUAAUUUAUAGUCACGAGUUAAAUGUGAGGUACUAUGAUAUUCAACUUCAUAAUUUAUAAAACUAAGUAUCUUGCCCAUUUAUCUAGAAACACAAAUAUAACUUUUAAUUAUUUUGUAUUUUCUAAGCAUAUGGAUUUUUUUCUACAUAUGAAUUUCUAUUUUAUCAGUGGCAGCAACAAAUAAUCUUGGGAGAGAAGGAAAGAUGGACUUCAAGCAGGAAAUUUAACUUCUUCUUUAUGACAGAGUCCUCUUUCCUGGCCUUUGAGAAGUUCUGUCUUCCCAUCUUGGUUUCCAAAAGUGUACUUGAAGGAGAAGAAAGCAGAACCAAAAACUGCAGUAGGAAACAAAAUUUAUCCUGAUGUUUAAAGAGAAUAGGGCAACAUAAUGAAGACCUAAAAAUUGUCUUCAAUAUUUAUUAAGCAAAAUUAUAUAGAAAAUCCUUGUAUACUGAUGAUGGUCCAAUAAGAACAGGGUUCACUUGAAGCAGGACAAUUAAGUUGAUUAUAAGAGCUCCUUUUCAUUCUUAUUAAUCAAAUUAAUUGUGUAUAAACUGGAUGUAGAUAUGUGUACAAAGAGAAAGAUACAAACAAGAUAUAUUAUUGAGACUUCCAUUCCAGAAGGAUGGGUCAGAAAUAACCCCUUUAUGAUAUGGAUACUUUAAAUAAGGAUAUCCAUGUAGCACAGUGGCUUUCAAACAUCUUUUUAUCAUCACAUAUAGUAAGAAAUACAUUUUAUACCAGAAGACAAUGCACAUGUACACACAGACACAGAAAUGUAUUUUUCAUAAUGACCUCAGCUACCUUAUUAUCUGUAGCACUUUCUAUUUUAGCUAUUUUGUUCUAUUUGUUUUUGUCCUAUUCUAUCCUAUACUUUCACAUUAAAGGAUGCUGGUCAUGGUCAGUUUAAUUGGUUUCACUAUCUGCUAAUGGCUCACAAUUUAAAAAAUUAGACCAAUUUGUAGUUCAGUCUCAAAAAGACAGUCAGUUCAAUUACAAGGAAUCAUGACACAAUUGAAGAAGGAGGGAAGAGAUGGAAAGAGUUUUGUGGCCCCUUACCUAUUACAUAGCUGCCAAGUAUACUGUAGGGAUCUCUAGUUUAGGAUAAGAGAAGAAAUGACUGAUUCUAUAUUAUGUAGAGAAUAGUUUUCAAUGAAUGAUGAUGAGUGUCUGAUAUUCUAUUUUGUCUAUCUCAGGCAUCAUGCAGAAUGCUGGGUACUACAUGAGGUUAGCCUGGACUUGCCUGUAAGGGCUACUGGGUACUUUAACACUAAAAUCAAAAAGCUGCCUUGAAGAGAAAGUAGAUCAGCUCAGGGCCAAGCUGUAAGAUGGCAUGAGCCUAAGGCUCAAGGGCUUAUAAUUGAUCCCCCUUUUCUGACAGAUGAAUCCAAAGGUUGAACAAGUUGACAUGGCUCACAAUGAUAUAGUGAAAUAACAUAUUUGACACUGAAAUAAAAAAUCUUUGUCUGCCAGCUGAGUUGGUUAUUUAUUCAACAGCUAUUGAACAAAUAUGGUGCACCAGAUCCUACUGGAUGCUGAGCAUUCAAAGAAAAGAAAACACAGUUUGACCUCAGAGAUCUCACAAGGAAGAUAUGCCAAGUAGUUAUCCAGUUUGCUACUUUCCUCCCCAAAUCACCCACUUACUUCCCUGCCUGCCCAGCUUCCUCACCCAGAGGUUGACCCUGAGCUCUGAGUCAUAUUGCCUUUUGCCGGAUAGUUUGGUUUGGCCAAAAUUGAUCACAAGUGGAAGACUGGAAGGUGGGAAGAGCGAAAUCAGGGCUUUUCUUUCCUAUUCCUUCCAAUUCUGGACUAUGUUUUCUGUGAUGCGUGUUCCUUCUAUAACUACAGCUCUUAUAGGACAGCCUUUUCUCCAUUGCCAUCUCUCAAUGCUAUGGCAAAGUUAUCUGCCCUUCUUGCUAUUUCAUGCCUUUGAGGGUUUGUGAUGUUUAACUGUUACUAAUCCCUGGCUCCUCCUCAUCUACUACUGGUUUCACUAAACUUUCCCACAUCUUUGCAAAUAUAUUGUUAGGUAUCUUGAGACAUACAUGUACUAUUCUGUAUCUGAUGAGACUCUGUUCUGUUAUAGGAGAAGCCCUUUAUAAUAAAUGGAGGAGUAUGAAGAGAGAGGAGUUCUGCAGUGAUAUUUUUAGAAAGGUUUGUUUGGUUUGGUUUGGUUUGGUUUGGUUCCUGCAGUUAUAGGGGGCAGAGCUGCUGAGAAAUGUUAUUUGAGGUAAACUGGGAUAAGAGUGUUAGAUGGGAGACUUAACAGAAUUUAACCUGACAUGACAUAGUCAUUCAGAUUUAUACCGUGUUUUUUCAUUUUUGAAUCUUAGCUGAACUAUCAGUUCAACAAAUUCAACAAAAAUGUUGCCACUUUGGACAUGUUCAUGAGCUCAUCUCACAAUUAUUUACUGGUGAAAAAUGAUGAUACACUUAAGGGCAUGAUGUGCUUAGAGGCUGAACACUAGAGUUAUGCCUUUGGGGAGUAUUUUGUUUUUAAUAUAAUGUGUGCUUUCUCAGAGUAUAAUAUCUCUAAGGCUCAUCCUCACUUCAUUAAAGACUGAAAAAUGGAGACGUGCUAAUGUAUGUAGAUGGCAGAAUUUUUUUGUACAUUGUUCUAUCUACUUUUGUAAUUUUUUGGUUGCUACAACCUCUUUACCUUGAUCCACUUGACAGGUUGGCUAAUUUAGCAUGACACAGUAGUCAGCAAGAUAAAGCUAACUUCUGCACAUCUGAGGAAGAUGUGGACAUGCUGGAUGAAACUAAACAAACACAAAUCUUUGACCUUUUCCUCUAACUAGUGCUCCAGUCCAGUGAGCUCAUUAUAGGAAAAUCUGUUAGCAUCCUUCACAUGUUAGCAGAUGACUGUGCUGAGCACACGCUGCCAGCCCAACAGGGGAUCGGGAGAAACCCAGUUCGUGCAUGACCCAUCACUGUUAAAUAGCAAAUUCCUGCAGUUACUUGCAUUAUGCAAAACUGCUUGAUGCACAUUAAAGAGAACCUUUUGAACCCCACACUCGUUAUUAUUAUUUUUUUCUCUUUCAUUCCGUUUUCUAACUUCUGUGGUGAGACUGCCUUAAAGGCUUAUCAUAUGUGCGCAUACUCUGGGCAGCUAAUGAACGCCAAGGUUGUUUGUGCUAAUUUUUGCAGUUGUAUAAACCUAGAUUUGGAAGCAAUGUCGACUUUAAGCCUCAUAGAAAUUUUAGUAAAUAAUGCCACCUAUAGCCUGCUGAAUUCAAAGGGAACAUUAGAGUUCAGAUAAAUGAGCCAUGUUGUGCCCCCUUUUCCCUGGUUCUCCUAAAAGGAAAAGAAAAUGAAAGUUAAGACAGUAUUCCCUUUUCUCUUUUUUGAGACUUAAAAAUAUAAUAAAAAUUUAAAAUAAAAACAUAUUUACAGGCUAAAACCCUUAUGGUUUACAGAGAGCUUUGGGAUUCUUAGUCAAGCAUUGCUUUUUUUUCCUGCCAAACCCACCUAAUGCUAGCAUCAUCUUAGUGUACAAAGAAUAUCACACACAUUAUAGUAAACUCCAGUCUAUAUUUCAUACAAUUGCAUAAAGCCUGAAAUUAAACAAGUACCUGGUGUCCUGAAUGAGGGCAUAAAAGUGACAAGGUGGACAAGCUACUAGGUUACAAUCUGCUGGUAAUUUAUUCCUUGACCUUGGACCCUUCUCUUCACCUCACUUCAGGAGAUAAAGUUACAAUAAAUGAUUUUUCAGUUUUAAUAUUCUGAUUCUGAUGUGAUUUUCCAUCUAAAGUUGGGACUAAUUUCAGUUAUUAGCAAAUGAACGUAGUUAAUGAUGAAAUUUACUGAUGAAUCUUAUAACAUUUUUCAAGUCAUAUCUUAGCCACCCUGCAGAGGAAAGUUUCAAAUCAAUCUGUUAUAUGUACCUGGGCUGAAAGGAAGCCAGUCUAAAUUUGCGAAUGGUCUGAGAUAUGCGGUAUUUUAAAGGAAAUGCCAUGUUACUACUGCUGUCUCUCUUACAGCAACAUAAAGUAGGUUUAAAAAUAUUGCCAGGGUAUUUCACCAAAGAGAUUACUGAUCUACUCUUCAUAUCAAUAUAUCCUGUUAAAUAUGUUAAUAAUUUUUAUGAAAAUUAAUGAACCUCAGAUACUUGUGAUUUUACACAUUUGUUCACAAUACCAUUCUCUGUACUCCAGUCCUAAGAAUAAUUAUGUCCCAGAUAUUCGUUCACAGCAAUGCUCUUUUCUAUGUAAGACAUAUUCCAGAUGCCUGUGCCUAAUACUUUGUAAUGCUGCUCUUCUCUUGAAUCCAGGGACUUGAUGGACAACCCAAGAGUUAUAAGCCAUCUAGUAGGACACUGUGGACAUGAAAGGGUUGUUUCAUGCUCUCUUGAGUAGUGCAAAAAAGGGUGAGAAUGCAAUGUUGUUCUCUGUAUGAAAUAUCUGUGUAUGGAUGAGGAUCGUCUUGUUCACAUUUAAUUUAAUUGGCCUUCACAAUGAUCUAAUUGCUUAUACUUCAGGAAUGUCUAGAAUUCAAAUAUUAUUUUACAGGACUAAAAGCAAUAUGAACCAAGUUUUGAGUUAAGUAGAAUUAGAUGCAUUAGUACAAAUGAGGUGCUAAUUUAUCUUUUACAAGUCUCACAUGGCUGUGAGAAGGGGAGAUCGAGAAGUGCCUAGAUUAGGAAUUGAAGCAUGUCAACAUUUGGCAAAGUCUGAACCCGAAAACAUCAUCCAAGGUCAAGAGGUCUUUUAUUUUGUAGAGGAUACAGUGAAUUGAUUCCAUAAAGAAGACAUUAAAACUAGGUAAACCAUCAAAAUGUGAAAGUUAAAGAAAAGCAGAAAUAUCUUUACUUAAACUAGAUACGGGAUUAAGUGUCCAUAAAAACGCAUAUGACAUAUUGUUGAGUUCUAGACCAUGGUAUGUAAAUAAUAUGCACCAUUAACAGACGUGGUUUAUAAUCUCCCAUAUGAAAUCUUCCUUGUUAUUCUCAUUAUGGCUGA